CUUGCCACGUGUGGUUAUUGAAGGACGACUCCUGCCCUAGUUUGCACGACUUCUAAAUUUAAUCAAGACUGUGCGGUAUUUAUACAACUGUUCCCAAAUGAGUGUGCCCAAGGGUACAAGCAGCUCUAUUGCCGACUGCUUGGCCGAUGACCCCGAGGCCGGCCCUUCAAUGGCAAGCCUGCCAACCCAACUCUCAUCUUCUCGUAUGCAGACGCUUGAAGAACAGAAGCGGGCUUGGAAGAAGGUAUUAGGAGGCGGAGGAGAGUCUGCAUCGAAGAAAGCAGGCAACCAGGCCAGUGACAUAAAAAAGCAGAAACGAAAAGAAUAUGUAUGUCUUGAGUGCGGCCACCUGCUCGCUCGAAAGACACGAAGUUAUUGCGAACGGCAUGCCCAAGAGCAACACAAAGGAGAACCUGACUAUCAGUGGACAAAAUCGAUUGUUUUUUGUGACUCACCUCUGAACACUAAAAAACGAAAAAUAGAUAACAUUCCUGCUCUUCACUUACCGUGCGACCAUUCACUUGAGCCUCGCGCCCGCU
rnacentral:lncRNA from 1 species